rnacentral:misc_RNA from 1 species
CAAGAUCGCAGCCUUCGGCAGCUCCCACAGGGGAAAUGCAAUCCAAUGUAGGAGCUGCCGAAGGCUGCGAUCUUU